UGAGUAGUGUGGAUAAUCGCGGCUGCAAGUGUCGUAAGACCGCAGGUGAGGAAAGUCCGGGCUUCACAGGGCAGGAUGCCGGAUAACGUCCGGUGGAGGCGACUCCAAGGCUAGUGCAACAGAAAUAUACCGCCAUUUUAUGGUAAGGGUGGAAAGGCAGUUUAAGAGACUACCGCAUCACUGGUAACAGUGAUGGCCAUGUAAACCCCAUCCGAAGCAAGACCAAAUAAAAAGCUAUACGGCUGCCCGUCGUGCUUUUAGGUAGGUCGCUUGAGCCUGUUGGUAACAGCAGGACUAGAUAGAUGAUUAUCUCGUGUUCUGGGAGAAUUCCCAGGCGUAUGACAUAACCCGGCUUACAGCGCUGCUCAUAAU
rnacentral:RNase_P_RNA from 1 species